UUCAAAUGAGAACUUUGAAGGCC
rnacentral:sRNA from 1 species